rnacentral:rRNA from 1 species
UCAGAAUGAACGCUGGCGGCAUGCCUAACACAUGCAAGUCGAACGAAUGCCCUUCGGGGUGUUAGUGGCGCACGGGUGCGUAACGCGUGGGAAUCUGCCCUUGGGUUCGGAAUAACAGUUGGAAACGACUGCUAAUACCGGAUGAUGACGUAAGUCCAAAGAUUUAUCGCCCAGGGAUGAGCCCGCGUAGGAUUAGGUAGUUGGUGUGGUAAAGGCGCACCAAGCCGACGAUCCUUAGCUGGUCUGAGAGGAUGAUCAGCCACACUGGGACUGAGACACGGCCCAGACUCCUACGGGAGGCAGCAGUGGGGAAUAUUGGACAAUGGGCGAAAGCCUGAUCCAGCAAUGCCGCGUGAGUGAUGAAGGCCUUAGGGUUGUAAAGCUCUUUUACCCGGGAUGAUAAUGAC